ensembl:lncRNA
AUAUAUAUAUAUAUAUAUAUAUAUAUAUAUAUAUAGGAAACCUUUGAUGAAAUAUUCAAUUUUAAGAAAUAUGAAACUUUAAAAUGGAACUUAAAGAAUGGAAGAACAAACAAAUGAUUUUCAAGUGGCUUCGGUAACAUGUUGAAGAUGAAAUAAUCAAAUAACUGUUGGAAGACUACAGAACUGAGAACUGGUUUGGUCUUAACGUAUUGUGAUCAGCUUUGUGGUCAAUGGGGUCGGUGAUGUCACAUGGAUUAGUCAGUGUAUUGUAUUUUCACGAUUUUAAGAAUGGAAAAUACAUUUUGAAUUCAUGGACUUUUUGACUCUGCUGUGUAUGUGAAAAUGUGUUUGCUAUAGAAAUGAAAAGGGAUGGAUGUGGUUGUAACAAAGAACUCAUACAGUCCAAUCAGCCUGCUAUACCAGCCUGAUAAGCCAAUCACUGUAUUAUGGUCUCAGGUCUGUUUGUACCCUCUUGCCUACUCCAAUGACCAUACUGUAGGUAGGCAAGACAGUACAAACUGAUCUGGGACCAGGCUAAUAUCACUAGUCUUUAGCCUCAAAGAACCAGGUUGUCAAUUUAGUUCAAAACAUAGAUAUGGAAUGACAUAGAUUCUAUUUCUAUGUUUUAAAGAUCGACUCUGGUCUCCAUGCAGUAAGUGUGUUCUGUUUAGUGUUUGUUAGCCUUUCUAGGGAUUUACUAUUCUGUAAUAGUUUAGCAUCCAUAGACCCAUCUAGAGCGCUGUCUGUAUGGACUAUUUUUGUAUCUCAAAAAAGAAAAAUUACAUUUAAGAAUAUCAAGAAAUUACCUGGAAGUGAGUUAAAAGUACAUGUAUUUAUGUUUUAUUGUUGCCAAAGAGAAGUAUUCAGUGAAGUCUGGGGGGCAAAUAGGAACAUAGGAUAUUUGAUCUAGAUUGUUUUAACCCACUAGUGGUGAGACUACAGCCUGGGUACCAGGACUAGUUUAGGGAUGCUGUCAGUAAGAUGUGCCCUUGUCGUGAUUUAAACGAGCUGGACUAGUUUAGGGAUGAUGUCAGUAAGAUGUGUCCUGGUCGUGAUUUGAACGAGCAGGACUAGUUUAGGGAUGCUGUCAGUAAGAUGUGCCCUGGUCGUGAUUUAAACGAGCUGGACUAGUUUAGGGAUGAUGUCAGUAAGAUGUGUCCUGGUCGUGAUUUAAACGAGCAGGACUAGUUUAGGGAUGAUGUCAGUAAGAUGUGUCCUGGUCGUGAUUUAAACAAACAGGACUAGUUUAGGGAUGCUGUCAGUAAGAUGUGCCCUGGUCGUGAUUUAAACAAACAGGACUAGUAUGGGGAUGCUGUCAGUAAGAUGUGCCCUGGUCGUGAUUUAAACAAACAGGACUAGUAUGGGGAUGCUGUCAGUAAGAUGUGCCCUGGUCGUGAUUUAAACAAACAGGACUAGUAUGGGGAUGAUGUCAGUAAGAUGUGCCCUGGUCGUGAUUUAAACAAACAGGACUAGUAUGGGGAUGCUGUCAGAUGUGCCCCACCCCACUCUACUUUCUGUACGUUAUGAAAUAUAAAUAAAGUGUUUUACACA